CAGGGUGAGCUCGUGCGCCCCUUACGCUUCCAGUGAGUGACAUCCGGUUUACGUGGCUGCGGUUGGUGCGGCGAAUUGUUUGGCGUGGCGUGUACAGCGCACCUCUGUCCGCUAAUACCAGGUGCCAACUCCCUGGUGGUGGUAUCUUUUCACGAGUCUGUGUUUGGUGUUUUGUCAUGGGUGGUGUCGUGUUGGAUUCUCCCUUUUUGAUUUUCUGCUGCUGUGAUGGACUCACCAUCUGUAAUGAAGUCAGGACCAAUGCUGUCAGCCAAGGCAGAGACCGCCUCAGCCUUGUCCCGGCUCCACAGCUGGGUGAAUGGCUUUGAAACCUGUGAUGCAGCAUAUGCAUCUCAACAUCACAACAGAUGACAGAAAUAGAAAGGUAUAACAUAUCGAUCGACCUAAUUAGGCAGGAAAGCUGCAUCUGUGUUGCCAAGAGAUCCUACACUGGCUGAAAAAGAAAUUGCUUGUGCUGCAACAGAAUAUUUUAAUAAUCACCCCCUGAUUACUUCAUAAUAUCUUUUUUUUUUAUCUUUGCCUCACAGUGAAUACACAAAAGACAUUUUCUAGUCUUUCGUUGUGUAAAUACACACAUGAUUGACAAAAUCCCAUGAAAAUACAUCAAAUGCAAAAUGUUUAUUUGUGCGUUUUGAUCCCUUACCACACACUGAAUUUAUAACUACAACUAAAUGGAUAAUGCAAAUUAACAAACAUUGUGCAUGGCAGAAUAUAUUUAAAUCACAUGUAAUACAUACAGACACAUUGUGUCAUUGUUAAAGAACAUUGCUUAACAGGAAAAAGACAUAUUGCUCUGUUUGCAUAAUUAAAACUCCAUGCAUUCUGCAUCUUUUAUUUAUCAUCCAUGUGAGAUAGACCAACCCAAACUGUGGCAGAUGGAUGCAACCCAGGAGUCGAUAACCAACUGCAACUGGGCUACAUCUCACUGUUGUGUGUGUACUUAUACCUCGAGACAAAUGUAAACACAGUACAAUUAAAGGGAGAUGAAUACUAAAGCUAAAUUACAGAGCCCCAAAAUGGCAGCGACCCUCACAAAACGUGGAAUCAAACCAUUAUUUAUAAUGGAAAAUGUUAAAUAUAACAUUCAGCAGUUCAACAUUUGAAUUACAGUACAGUAACAAUAAGUUAACAGUAUGGUGAUACUGUGGUAAUAAUUUUGUAAAAGGGAAGUAAUACCAUGGGAACCGGUAUUGGUCAGUAUCAGUAUCAGUCCGAUAUUGGUCAAAU